rnacentral:rRNA from 1 species
GACGAACGCUGGCGGCGUGCUUAACACAUGCAAGUCGAACGGACAGGCCCUGCUUUUGUGGGGUGCUCGAGUGGCGAACGGGUGAGUAACACGUGAGUAACCUGCCCUUGACUUUGGGAUAACUUCAGGAAACUGGGGCUAAUACCCGAUAGGAGCUCCUGCUGCAUGUUGUGGGUUGGAAAGUUUCGGCGGUUGGGGAUGGACUCGCGGCUUAUCCGCUUGUUGGUGGGGUAGUGGCUUACCAAGGCUUUGACGGGUAGCCGGCCUGAGAGGGUGACCGGCCACCUUGGGACUGAGGUACGGCCCAGACUCCAACGGGAGGCAGCAGUGGGGAAUAUUGCAGAGUGGGCGGAAGCCUGAUGCAGCAACGCCGCGUGCGGGAUGACGUCCUUCGGGUUGUAAACCGCUUUCGCAGGUGACGAAGCGUGAGUGACGGUAAUGGGUAAAGAAGCAACGGCUAACUACGUG